UACGUAGGGGGCAAGCGUUGUCCGGAAUCAUUGGGCGUAAAGAGCGUGUAGGCGGCCAGAAAAGUCCGCUGUGAAAACUCGAGGCUCAACUUCGAGCUGUCGGUGGAAACUUUCUGGCUAGAGUCCGGAAGAGGAGAAUGGAAUUCCUGGUGUAGCGGUGAAAUGCGCGGAUAUCAGGAAGAACACCCGUGGCGAAGGCGGUUCUCUGGGACGGUACUGACGCUGAGACGCGAAAGCGUGGGGAGCGAACAGG
rnacentral:rRNA from 1 species